rnacentral:rRNA from 1 species
AUUGAACGCUGGCGGCAGGCCUAACACAUGCAAGUCGAACGAGUGGCGGACGGGUGUGUAAUGUCUGGGAAACGGCCUGACGGAGGGGGAUAACUACUGGAAACGGUAGCUAAUACCGCAUACCAUCGGAUGUGCCCAGAUGGGAUUAGCUAGUAGGUGGGGUAAAGGCUCACCUAGGCGACGAUCCCUAGCUGGUCUGAGAGGAUGACCAGCCACACUGGAACUGAGCCACGGUCCAGACUCCUACGGUAGGCAGCAGUGGGGAAUAUUGCACAAUGGGCGCAAGCCUGAUGCAGCCAUGCCGCGUGUAUGAAGAAGGCCUUCGGGUUGUAAUGUACUUUCAGCGAGGAGGCGUUACCUGCAGAAGAAGCACCGGCUAACUCCGUGCCAGCAGCCGCGGUAAUAC